UGGACGCAGAAAUCAGGAUGUUAAAAUGAAUGUAUUUCCUCAGUGGAGUAAACUAAGAAAUGAGUGUAUAGUCUAUACCUCAACAAAUAGAGGUGACAAUAGAGGAUGAAAUAAAGAAUGGAGAUCUAGAUGGUUGGAUAAAUCUUUAAUUUAUAGAAUCUAUGAUCUACAAGGCUAAACAGUGGAGAUCAAAUUUAACGUGGCUUGAGACAAAAUAUUGAUUUCCUUGAACCUCUGGACUGAAUGGUGUAUUAUGUAUGGGUAUUUUGUGUGAUGAGAAGACACCUAUGAAGUUAAAAGGAAAGUUCUAUAGAUUGCUCUAAAAUAUGUGGACUUCCUCACUUGAAAAAUACUAAAGAAUUAUGCAAAUGACAAAUUUAAGUUCAGUCAUAGACUUUAAAAACCAACGAUACCAAAGUCAUUACCAAAAUCAAAUAUGUCCAAACAUUGAUGCUAACUUUGAACUUGUUUAAAUUAAUGGUAUCCACUCUGGCAAUUUAUUAAGCUUGGUGAAAAAGAAAAUAGAAAUAGGACUAUUAUGGGAAAAGGCAAUAUGGCAAAGACAAUAAUCACCCGUCUUUUUCUAUACUUGUUGAUGCAUCAGUCACUGUGUUUGUAACAUAGUAGUCACGCACUGUGUACUAGAUGUUGCUUAAAGAGAUCGUAACAGUACUUAAAUUGCCAAUGAAGAACCAAAACAUUGUCAAUUAUGCUUGUACAGACCAAGAACCUCAGGAGGAAAUAAAUAUCAUUCAUAUCUAUAUAUAAUAGCAUGUAUGAAUUGCAGAGCAUGUAUUGGGUGCAAUCUCAAAAGCUAUGCACAAAAUGCACUUUGCACACAACAAACUUUUGGAGCUAAAUCCAGAAUGACAACCAUAUUGUUCUGUGGAUCUUGUCAAAUUUAAAGAAAACUGAAGAGCAUUUAUAGUGCAAAAUAAAACUGAAAAGUAUUCAAGAUAGAGCCUUAAUGUUAUUGGUCAGAUUGGUACAUGGGGGCCUUAAAGAUAUGAAUUAGACGAUUGGAAAUGAAGGUGAUAUAGUAUCACCCUGGUCAUUUUCAAUGAACAGUUCAUGAAUAUCUUCAUCAAUUGCUAACACCAUAAUCCGUGCCUUCCAUUUCUUUAUAUAUAUAUAAUCUACUUCCAAAUUGAAUGGUUUGGAUAAAUUUGUCUAUUAUCGUUAUUCAUAUCGUCAUUCAUAUCGUCUUAAUCAUUACCUAUCAAAGAAAAAAUAUCGUUUUAAUCGUCAUUUGAUAGCUAACUUUGUGUGGAACAGCAAAGAGACAUUGCCUGGAGGAUUGUCGGUCAACAAGAAAAGGGCUGAGAGAGGUCUUUCACAACUGAAGAUAGAAGUUGUAGAUUUAGUCCCUGGGAAUUCUAGUGGAGAGAAAAUGAGUUCGACAUCAUUGAGGAGGCUUGAAGCCGAGAAGCUCAGCAAGGUUCAUCUAGAAGGUCAGGUUUAAUUUUGAUCGAUGGAACUGUAUAUCGAAAUUUACUUUUCUUAGACGUGUCAGAGGAAAUCAGUAAUUUGACAUGAUUGAUUUGAAAGAUGUUAUAGAAGAAAUAGAGUGCACCUGUUUGUCUCAUAAA